GCUUGUCUCAAAGAUUAAGCCAUGCAUGUCUAAGUAUAAGUAUUAUACAGCGAAACUGCGAAUGGCUCAUUAAAACAGUUAUAGUUUACAUGAUAAUCGAAUUUACAUGGAUAACCGUGGUAAUUCUAGAGCUAAUACAUGCUGGCGUGCCCGACUUUUGUGGAAGGGCGGUAUUUAUUAGAUAACAAGCCAAUAUUCCUCACGGUCUAUUGUGGUGACUCAUAAUAACUGAUCGAAUCGCAAGGCCCUUGGCCGCGAUAAGUCAUUCAAGUUUCUGCCCUAUCAGCUUUGGAUGGUAGGGUAUUGGCCUACCAUGGCUUUAACGGGUAACGGAGAAUUAGGGUUCGAUUCCGGAGAGGGAGCCUGAGAAAUGGCUACCACAUCCAAGGAAGGCAGCAGG
rnacentral:rRNA from 1 species